rnacentral:rRNA from 1 species
GNGGACGGGUGAGUAACGCGUGGGCAACCUGCCUUACNCNGGGGGAUAACAGUUAGAAAUGACUGCUAAUACCGCAUAAGACCACAAAACUGCAUGGUUUUGUGGUAAAAACUCCGGUGGUGUAAGAUGGGCCCGCGUCUGAUUAGGUAGUUGGUGGGGUAACGGCCCACCAAGCCGACGAUCAGUAGCCGACCUGAGAGGGUGACCGGCCACAUUGGGACCGAGACACGGCCCAGACUCCUACGGGAGGCAGCAGUGGGGAAUAUUGCACAAUGGGGGAAACCCUGAUGCAGCGACGCCGCGUGAGCGAUGAAGUAUUUCGGUAUGUAAAGCUCUAUCAGCAGGGAAGAAAAUGACGGUACCUGACUAAGAAGCCCCGGCUAACUACGUGCCAGCAGCCGCGGUAAUACGUAGGGGGCAAGCGUUAUCCGGAUUUACUGGGUGUAAAGGGAGCGUAGACGGCUUUGCAAGCCAGAUGUGAAAGCCCGGGGCUCAACCCCGGGACUGCAUUUGGAACUGUGUGGCUAGAGUGUCGGAGAGGCAGGCGGAAUUCCUAGUGUAGCGGUGAAAUGCGUAGAUAUUAGGAGGAACACCAGUGGCGAAGGCGGCCUGCUGGACGAUGACUGACGUUGAGGCUCGAAAGCGUGGGGAGCAAACAGGAUUAGAUACCCUGGUAGU